rnacentral:rRNA from 1 species
GACGAACGCUGGCGGCGCGCUUAACACAUGCAAGUCGAGCGGUAAGGCCCUUUCGGGGGUACACGAGCGGCGAACGGGUGAGUAACACGUGGGUGACCUGCCCUCAGCUCUGGGAUAAGCCUGGGAAACCGGGUCUAAUACCGGAUAUGACUCCAUGACGCAUGUUGUGGGGUGGAAAGCCUUGUGCGGCUGAGGAUGGGCCCGCGGCCUAUCAGCUUGUUGGUGGGGUGANGGCCUACCAAGGCGACGACGGGUAGCCGGCCUGAGAGGGCGACCGGCCACACUGGGACUGAGACACGGCCCAGACUCCUACGGGAGGCAGCAGUGGGGAAUCUUGCGCAAUGGGCGAAAGCCUGACGCAGCGACGCCGCGUGAGGGAUGACGGCCUCGGUUGUAA